AACGAACGCUGGCGGCAUGCCUAACACAUGCCAGUCGAACGAGACCUUCGGGUCUAGUGGCGCACGGGUGCGUAACGCGUGGGAACCUGCCCUUAGGUUCGGAAUAACUCCCCGAAAGGGGUGCUAAUACCGGAUAAUGUCUUCGGACCAAAGAUUUAUCGCCUCUGGAUGGGCCCGCGUUGGAUUAGCUAGUUGGUAGGGUAAAAGCCUACCAAGGCGACGAUCCAUAGCUGGUCUGAGAGGAUGAUCAGCCACACUGGGACUGAGACACGGCCCAGACUCCUACGGGAGGCAGCAGUGGGGAAUAUUGGACAAUGGGCGAAAGCCUGAUCCAGCAAUGCCGCGUGAGUGAUGAAGGCCUUAGGGUUGUAAAGCUCUUUUACCCGGGAUGAUAAUGACAGUACCGGGAGAAUAAGCUCCGGCUAACUCCGUG
rnacentral:rRNA from 1 species